AUUGAACGCUGGCGGCAUGCCUUACACAUGCAAGUCGAACGGCAGCGCGGACUUCGGUCUGGUGGCGAGUGGCGAACGGGUGAGUAAUACAUCGGAACGUACCCUGUUGUGGGGGAUAACUAGUCGAAAGAUUAGCUAAUACCGCAUACGACCUGAGGGUGAAAGUGGGGGACCGCAAGGCCUCACGCAGCAGGAGCGGCCGAUGUCUGAUUAGCUAGUUGGUGGGGUAAGGGCCCACCAAGGCGACGAUCAGUAGCUGGUCUGAGAGGACGAUCAGCCACACUGGGACUGAGACACGGCCCAGACUCCUACGGGAGGCAGCAGUGGGGAAUUUUGGACAAUGGGGGCAACCCUGAUCCAGCAAUGCCGCGUGUGUGAAGAAGGCCUUCGGGUUGUAAAGCACUUUUGUCCGGAAAGAAAUCGCGCUGGUUAAUACCUGGCGUGGAUGACGGUACCGGAAGAAUAAGCACCGGCUAACUACGUGCCAGCAGCCGCAGUAA
rnacentral:rRNA from 1 species